AGCACAACCAGCAAUCCCACAAUGAUAAGGUACUCAAGGUGUUCAAGCCACAGGCAGUUUUAAUAGAACAGAAAACAGCAGCAACGUUUUGACCUACUAAGAGGUCUUUGUCAAGCCCUGGAGGACUGGGAAAGGUAAGAUAAGAAUCUCUAAAUACCAGUGCCAACUAGACAAGGUUAUGGAGAAAAUAAGUUGGCGGUCCACCAUGGGAAAAACAUCAGAAAUUAGAAAAACUAUUAGCAGAGAGUCUUAAACUUUGGAUUUAGUUACACUUAACUUAAAAAAAAUGAUUACCUUUAAUUAAUCUUGAACUGUUGCCAUACCUCUUUAUUCUGUACAUGAAAAUAAUAUACACAUGUUUUUAUAUUUUUUUAGAUUGAAAAGUGUCACAUCUACAUAGAGUUGGAUGGACUAUGACUGUGAGGAAUGAAUCGAGAGUCACAGAAGUCAUACUUCUAGGCUUUGGAAAUCUUUAUGGCUUCAACAUUUUAAUUUUCAUCAUAUUCCUUAACAUUUUCCUAAUCACAGUAACUGGAAAUCUUCUGAUCAUUGUGUUAGUUUCCAUCAGCCAUCACCUUCAUUCUCCCAUGUACUUCUUUCUUUGUCAUCUAUCAUUGUCUGAUAUUGUGCUCUCAACAAAUACUUUACCUAACCUGAUGGGAGCAAUCUUACAUGGUGGGAAAGUUAUGACAAUUCUUGGCUGUAUAACUCAAUUGUAUUU